UACGGGGGGGGCAAGCGUUGUUCGGAAUUACUGGGCGUAAAGGGCUCGUAGGCGGCCAACUAAGUCAGACGUGAAAUCCCUCGGCUUAACCGGGGAACUGCGUCUGAUACUGGAUGGCUUGAGUUCGGGAGAGGGAUGCGGAAUUCCAGGUGUAGCGGUGAAAUGCGUAGAUAUCUGGAGGAACACCGGUGGCGAAGGCGGCAUCCUGGACCAAUACUGACGCUGAGGAGCGAAAGCUAGGGGAGCAAACGGG
rnacentral:rRNA from 1 species